rnacentral:rRNA from 1 species
AUUGAACGCUGGCGGCAGGCUUAACACAUGCAAGUCGAGCGGGGGAAGGUAGCUUGCUACCGGACCUAGCGGCGGACGGGUGAGUAAUGCUUAGGAAUCUGCCUAUUAGUGGGGGACAACAUCUCGAAAGGGAUGCUAAUACCGCAUACGUCCUACGGGAGAAAGCAGGGGAUCUUCGGACCUUGCGCUAAUAGAUGAGCCUAAGUCGGAUUAGCUAGUUGGUGGGGUAAAGGCCUACCAAGGCGACGAUCUGUAGCGGGUCUGAGAGGAUGAUCCGCCACACUGGGACUGAGACACGGCCCAGACUCCUACGGGAGGCAGCAGUGGGGAAUAUUGGACAAUGGGGGGAACCCUGAUCCAGCCAUGCCGCGUGUGUGAAGAAGGCCUUAUGGUUGUAAAGCACUUUAAGCGAGGAGGAGGCUACUUUAGUUAAUACCUAGAGAUAGUGGACGUUACUCGCAGAAUAAGCACCGGCUAACUCUGUGCCAGCAGCCGCGGUAAUACAGAGGGUGCGAGCGUUAAUCGGAUUUACUGGGCGUAAAGCGUGCGUAGGCGGCUUAUUAAGUCGGAUGUGAAAUCCCCGAGCUUAACUUGGGAAUUGCAUUCGAUACUGGUGAGCUAGAGUAUGGGAGAGGAUGGUAGAAUUCCAGGUGUAGCGGUGAAAUGCGUAGAGAUCUGGAGGAAUACCGAUGGCGAAGGCAGCCAUCUGGCCUAAUACUGACGCUGAGGUACGAAAGCAUGGGGAGCAAACACGAUUAGAUACCCUGGUAGUCCAUGCCGUAAACGAUGUCUACUAGCCGUUGGG